AACUUUUAUCUGGAGUCAUGUGUCAACGUUAUGAGUGGAGACUAAAGAAAAGGGAGUCAGAGCCGGGAUGUUACUGCGUAAAAGUUCGCAAAAUGUGGGACCACCAACUGAUGGAAGGAGGCAGGUGCAUCUCUGCUAUCAGCUCUGCAACAAAAAGUUGUGCUGUGUAAAACAGGACAGCAAAAGCUGGAGAAGGAUAGGAAUGGAAAAAAAAGUCCAGUAUAAAUAAAGAGACAAGCGAGAAAGAGGUGGGAGGGAUGGGAACGGAAAGAAGGAUGAGGUAAGCCCUAUGGGAGAGGAGCGCUGAGUUGCUAAACCUCUCCAACUCCUCCUCGUUUUUUGCCUCAGUCGGUCUCUUUCGUCUCUUUCCAGGGUGAGACGAUACGAGGUGAGAUUAACAAAAAGAGGAUCAAGUGCUAAGGGGGAAGGAGUGACAUCAGCGGUGACAUCAGAAGGGAGAAAGGUCAGAGGUUAAGCAGAUGAUGGCUUGUUUUUGCAGAAAGGACAAGAGUUGAUGCCUUUGGAAUUUAUCUAAGGUGAAGACCUGGGAGGCGAGGCGUUCUGCUUCGUUUGUUUUGACCUGAACUCAUGGGUCAUGCGUGGGUGUCCACAAGCCAGCCCGUCGGGUACUUCCCCAGGGGAGGAAAGCGAUUUUAGAUGAACUUUAGCCUCCCUCCGCCCUGCUGUUACCCCCCUUUUGCUUCAAUCUGAGUUUAUACACCCUUGGGCCUGCUUGUAUCCCAUGGUGUGUGAGUUUUUUUGG
rnacentral:lncRNA from 1 species